CUUCCAUGUUAAAUAAGUAAUUAUAUACUUAAUAAAUAAACAAAACAAGAACAAAUGAUACUUCUGUUUGGGACGUUGAUCAUUGUUUUUGAUAUAUUUUAGUUUUUUUUACCAAUACAAUUAUUUGUUAUAGAUGAUUCUUAGACGCUACAUUACUUUCGGAUAUCAUCAACUCAAAAUUUAAUGUUGGUGCUUCCUUUUAUGAGG